GACAUAGGUCGCAACCGUUAUCCGGAAUUAUUGGGCGUAAAGGAUGCGUAGAUGGUUUGAUAAGUUACUGGUGGGAAAUCGAGGCCCAACCUCGUGGAAGUUAGUAAUACUGUCAAACUUGAGUGCAGGAGAGGUUAACGGAACUUUAUGUGGAGCGGUAAAAUGCGUAGAUAUAUGAAAGAACAUCAAUCGGCGAAGGCAGUUAACUAUUCUGCUACUGACAUUGAGGCAUGAAAGCGUGGGGAGCAAAACGG
rnacentral:rRNA from 1 species